rnacentral:lncRNA from 1 species
GUUAGUAGUAGACUGUCAGGGGAGAGUGGUCUGAGGUUAGUAGUAGACUGUCAGGGGAGAGUGGCAUGGGGUUAGCAGUAGACUGUCAGGGGAGAGUGGUCUGAGGUUAGUAGUAGACUGUCGGGGAGAGUGGCAUGGGGUUAGUAGUAGACUGUCAGGGGAGAGUGGUCUGAGGUUAGUAGUAGACUGUCAGGGGAGAGUGGUCUGGGGUUAGUAGUAGACUGUCAGGGGAGAGUGGUCUGGGGUUAGUAGUAGACUGUCAGGGGAGAGUGGUCUGGGGUUAGUAGUAGACUGUCAGGGGAGAGUGGUCUGAUGUUAGUAGUAGACUGUCAGGGGAGAAUGGUCUGGGGUUAGUAGUAGACUGUCAGGGGAGAGUGGUCUGAGGUUAGUAGUAGACUGUCAGGGGAGAGUGGUCUGGGGUUAGCAGUAGACUGUCAGGGGAGAGUGGUCUGAGGUUAGUAGUAGACUGUCAGGGGAGAGUGGUCUGAGGUUAGUAGUAGACUGUCAGGGGAGAGUGGUCUGGGGUUAGUAGUAGACUGUCAAGGGAGAGUGGUCUGGGGUUAGUAGUAGACUGUCAGGGGAGAGUGGUCUGAGGUUAGUAGUAGACUGUCAGGGGAGAGUGG